UACGUAGGGGGCUAGCGUUAUUCGGAAUUAUUGGGCGUAAAGGGCGCGUAGGCGGCCAUGCGUGUCUUCCGUGAAAUCCCUCGGCUUAACUGAGGACGUGCGGAAGAAACUGCAAGGCUCGAGUCCGGGAGAGGAGGGUGGAAUUCCCAGUGUAGCGGUGAAAUGCGUAGAUAUUGGGAGGAACACCGGUGGCGAAGGCGGCCCUCUGGACCGGUACUGACGCUGAUGCGCGAAAGCCAGGGGAGCAAACGGG
rnacentral:rRNA from 1 species